rfam:Pterocles gutturalis contig8820, whole genome shotgun sequence.
UCUCUGGUUCUUUUCAGAACCACACUGAAAAAAAAUCUUUGUUUGU